UAGAUCUUUAUUUUUAUAAUCUGUUACAUUUAUUUUUACAUAUUGAGCCAGAAAAGCUGCAUAUUGCUAUAGUAUUUUAGUACGAGCUUACAGCCCAGAUAGCUGCUUUUACAUAUUUUUAUUCUGCGGGGCCAGGAGGGCAUAUACCGUACUUCAUUCUGUUUGGCCAUAUUAAUGCAUUUUAAUUAUUAUCCUUCAUACCUUUCUGUUGCUGUGAUUUAUUAUUAUUAUUAUAUUUAUAUUAUACGCUUACAGCUCUAAUAGCUGCCAAUAUAUAUUUAUUUAUUCUGUCGGGACAGAAGGGGUAAAUGUCAAUUAAUUUUUGAGUUGUUUUUUCAAGUGUUUCUGUGAUUACUUUCUAUAUUUGAUACCAUUUCUAUUAAUAUUGUUUUUAUAAAUUGUCACCAGCAACACAGAUAGAUCAGUUUACCAUAUUUUUCACCUGUUGGUCCGAAUGGGCCGUAAUUUUAUAUUUGUAUAUUGUGGAUUGUUUGAAAUUUUUCGUUGCAGAGCAACCUACAAUCACCAGAAACCUUGUUAGCAUUUUUUAAUAGUUUUAAUUUUAAACACACCUACACUCAUAGGUACACACUUAUACACAAAUACACAUAUUACACAAUAACAUGCGCUAUGUAGCUCGACAGCAUUUUCCCGGAAAUCCUGACCACAACCGUUCGAGCUAUUACAUCACUACACACCGAUGAGCUAUAGUCCUCUAUAUUUUCAAGACUUAGGACUUAGUUUUUCGCAAAAUCAAGUUGGUGUCCGAUAUCACUACUCAUCCGAUCCUAACAAUAUCAGAGGAGUUACACAACAGCAGCAGCCACACUAGUCGACGACCGACACCCACCGACACUAUCUCACCCACAUCCAAGUGUCCCGACGAAUACAACGAGAUGAAUAAAUGUCUGAUGAUUCUGGCAGCUGUGUGCAUUUUGUUUGCGGUUGUUGGAUCGGCAUACGGCGGUUGUCCUGAAAAUUGCUGGGAUUUAUACAUUGGGGCAAUUUUUCGGUGUGUUUCUCCAAAAGCCACGAUUAUGUGUAAGAAGAAGUAUUCAAUUUUGGGCGAAUGUCGAUGCUGGUGUUGUUAGCUUGUCUUGCUCAUUUGGAGCAAGCUACGUUGUAAUGUAUGGAUGUGUUUAUUAUUAUUUUUUACUCCAACUCUGUAAUAAUAGUACUUAAUAUUAUGCCUAUGUUUGUUUUUCGGAUAUUCGACUCGAAUAAUAAACUUUGUUACUUUAUGAGUUGUGCUUUCUUUGUUAUUUUCUCAAUUAAAUCACAUGUAGGUACAUUAAAACUAUGUAACUAACUAUCAUUAUUGUACUUAAUAAUAAAAUUCUAUAAUAUAAUUAUACCCAUAUAAAGAAGAAAAAACUAAUUAUUAUAAUUGUACAUUUGUACUUAAUAAUCUGUAAUAUUAUAAUUAAUCAAUUAUUUUAAUUUUAAUUGUAUUAACUAUGAAAUAAUGUAAAACUAUUAACUCCAUUUGAUAAUAUUGUACACUGUAUGUUGUUGAACAAAAUGCAUGAUUAUUUUUUUUUUAAUUUGAAUUAUGUAUAACAUUAUAUGUACAUGUUGUAUCCAGUUAACUGAAAAAUUCGGAAUCAUAAUACAUUUAUGAGGAUAUCUAUUUUGUUUUUAGCUAAUGAACGUCAUUAAACACAACGUGUUUCUAAUGUUUCAAAUGUAUUAUUGUUUUUAAUAAAUUGAUGUACUCACAUAUAAUUAUUAUUUCAUAUUUUUGAUUUUACGGAAUGAAUUCCAUUUAAAAUAGGUAAUAUUGCUUUAUUUCAGUAUAACAAACAUAUUAUGUUGAUAGCAUGCUAACUUAUCAGUAUAAUUAAAGAUACAGUAUAAGAAAAACUACGACCAUAUAUUGGUGAACUCGAUUAGUGGAGUAGUGGAGCAACAGGUUUUAAAAUGUUCACGAUUUUUUAUAGAUUCACGAAUCGCAUUAUUAUUUCCAGAAAAGAGUAAACAUGUGUGCCGUUAGCAUAAUAAUAUGUUACAAUAAAUCCAUCAGUAUAGGUAGUCACCUAUAGCUUUUGAGUCAAUUUAAACUUGACGGAAUAACACUAAUAUUCGUUAAAAUGUAAAUUAGCUCUUUAUGAUUAAACGGUAUCAAAAGCUUUUGCUAAAUCAAGAAAAAUUGACAGCACCAAAACUAGGCCUAAAACCAAUUUAGAAAAGAGUUGGCAUUUAUCUAGGAAUAAUAUGAGCCUACUUUUGACAAUUAUUCCAAUAUUUUAGAAAGACUACUUAGCAUAGAAAUAUUGGUCUAUCCGACAGUAAUUUAAUAUUUUUGAAGUUAUUGAUAAUUCGAGAGCAUUUGGAUUUUUAUUAUUUUCAUUAAAAAAGCUAUUAAUAGAAUUUGCGGAGCAGUUCACCACAAAUUAAAAAAUGAUUCUUCAAAAUGUCGAGCUGAAGUAACACCGAUAUUUAUGAAAAGUAUAUUAAAUAUAUUAGUGAAGUAGUGUGAAUCACUUUUUAAAUUAAAAAUACUACCGAUUACCUACUACAAUUUAUUGUACUAAUAUCAUCAUUAAUAUAUUAUAGUAUAUAUUUGAGUCAUCUUUAAUUACCUUCUAUGAGAGUUUUGGAUUGAAUGAAACCCCAUUAAUUUUACUUAAUAAUAUUUAAUCUUUGAGGCUCGUAUAAUAAUUAAUAGCUGUUAAAUUAUUUUUAUAUUUAUUUUAAUAAAAACUAGUUAAAUAUUAUGAGGGUACUUAUGAACUUGCAGUGGUAAUUUUUUUUUAGGGCUUACCGAGUACAGUAGGCCAGAGCCCAAGGCGUCAUCCACUAUUGAAGCAAAUUUUUUGUUUGAAAUUUACAAUUGUUGUUGUUAGUUUUUCAAAAUAUGUGUGUCAUAACUUAAUCAAAAAAGAUAUUCAUACAAUCAUUUACGUCAUUACAAGUAAAUAUUCCAGCCCACACCUUAUUUUCAAAUAACUCGUUUAUAGAAUAUUAAAGUUAAUUAUUUUAAAACCAUUUUUAAAAAAUUGUUGUUUUUUUAAAUUUCUAUUGCCAACACACCUUUACAUUAUUAGUCUCUAAAUAUUCCCGAGCUGUCAAGGACAACGAACUCCGUAGCUACAAUUUUUUUUUCAAAAACUAAUUCUACGUCAAUAAUAAGCACGCACUUUUCCCUCUUCUCAUCCGCUACUUUUCCUAUAUAAAUAGAAGCUAUCUGCAGUCAGAGCUUUAGAGGUACUUCACUCAUCGUCUCAGCUGAGCUGUAUACCAACUGCACAAGUUCAGAUUUUGUCAGAACGCGAUAUUAACCAAGUCCAGCAAUCCCGAUCACUAUACAGAGCAAGAUGAAUAAAUGCCUAUUGAUUCUGGUAGUGGUGGCGUGUCUUUUGGGAAUGAUCGAAUUGGCGUACGGAGAUUGUCCAGGAAAUUGCUGGUACUACAGGUCGGAGGCAACCAAACAUUGUUCUUCUCCAACAGCGACCAAUGAGUGCAGCGGUUAUGACCUUUUUGGCCUAUGUCGAUGUUGGUGUUGUUAGACUUGUCUUGCUCGAUCGAUUCAUAAGUAUGCCAACAAUUGUAUAAUGCAUAGUUGUGGUUAUUUUAUUUUACCCGAAUUCGAUGAUAAUUAUAAUUAAUACUAUAUGCUCAUGUUUGUUUUACGAAUAACGGCUGUAAUAAUAAACCUUGUUAUUUUAUAAGUUUUUUUUUUUUUUUUUGGUUACUCUUACAAUCAAAUCACAAACAAUAUAAUACUAAAUAAAUAAAUAUUUUUUUUUCUUAAUGAUCAACUUCUGUAAUAUUCUGGCUAAUCAAUUAUUUUUAUUGUAAUUUUAUUGUUCAUAAAAUAAUGUGAAACUAUUAACACCAUUUGACAAUGUAAACAUUGUAAACUAUGUUGUUAAAAUAAUACAUGAAAAAUCAUUUACUUUGAUAAACAUGUAUCACAAGUAACAUGACGUAUAUGAUAAUGUCACAUGUUGUUUACAUUUUGUAUUUAGUCAAUUGAAAAAGUAGGUAUGCAAUACUUCAUAAAAACAUUUAUUUUGUUUUUACCUAAUAAAAAUAAACAUUGUAAAACAUA